CAGCCGCCGCGGGAAUACGAAGGGGGCUAGCGUUGCUCGGAAUGACUGGGCGUAAAGGGCGCGUAGGCGGUUGGUACAGUCAGAUGUGAAAUUCCUGGGCUUAACCUGGGGGCUGCAUUUGAUACGUGCUGGCUUGAGUGGGGAAGAGGGUUGUGGAAUUCCCAGUGUAGAGGUGAAAUUCGUAGAUAUUGGGAAGAACACCGGUGGCGAAGGCGGCAACCUGGUCCUUGACUGACGCUGAGGCGCGAAAGCGUGGGGAGCAAACAGGAUUAGAUACCCGAGUAGUCCCUGUCUCUUAUAA
rnacentral:rRNA from 1 species